CCUACGUGUUGCAGCAGUGGGGAAUAUUGGACAAUGGGCGAAAGCCUGAUCCAGCCAUGCCGCGUGUGUGAAGAAGGCCUUCGGGUUGUAAAGCACUUUCAGUGGGGAAGAAAGCCUUGGGGCUAAUACCCUCGAGGAAGGACAUCACCCACAGAAGAAGCACCGGCUAACUCCGUGCCAGCAGCCGCGGUAAUACGGAGGGUGCGAGCGUUAAUCGGAAUUACUGGGCGUAAAGCGCGCGUAGGCGGUCUGAUAAGCCGGUUGUGAAAGCCCCGGGCUCAACCUGGGAACGGCAUCCGGAACUGUCAGGCUAGAGUGCAGGAGAGGAAGGUAGAAUUCCCGGUGUAGCGGUGAAAUGCGUAGAGAUCGGGAGGAAUACCAGUGGCGAAGGCGGCCUUCUGGACUGACACUGACGCUGAGGUGCGAAAGCGUGGGUAGCAAACAGGAUUAGAUACCCUGGUAGUC
rnacentral:rRNA from 1 species